ACUCAAAUGAAUUGACGGGGGCCCGCACAAGCGGUGGAGCAUGUGGUUUAAUUCGAAGCAACGCGAAGAACCUUACCAGGUCUUGACAUCCCUUGCAAGUCAUAGAGAUAUGAUGUUCCUUCGGGACGAGGAGACAGGUGGUGCAUGGUUGUCGUCAGCUCGUGUCGUGAGAUGUUGGGUUAAGUCCCGCAACGAGCGCAACCCUUGUUGCUAGUUGCUACCAUUAAGUUGAGCACUCUAGCGAGACUGCCGGAGACAAUUCGGAGGAAGGUGGGGAUGACGUCAAAUCAUCAUGCCCUUUAUGACCUGGGCUACACACGUGCUACAAUGGCAAUAACAGAGGGAAGCGAGAGGGCGACCUUGAGCAGAUCCCUAAAAAGUUGUCUUAGUUCGGAUUGCAGGCUGCAACUCGCCUGCAUGAAGUCGGAAUCGCUAGUAAUCGCGAAUCAGCAUGUCGCGGUGAAUACGUUCCCGGGCCUUGUACACACCGCCCGU
rnacentral:rRNA from 1 species